rnacentral:rRNA from 1 species
CCUACGGGAGGCAGCAGUGAGGAAUAUUGGUCAAUGGACGUAAGGCUGAACCAGCCAAGUCGCGUGAAGGAAGAAGGAUCUAUGGUUUGUAAACUUCUUUUAUAGGGGAAUAAAGGUAUCCACGUGUGGAUAUUUGCAUGUACCCUAUGAAUAAGCAUCGGCUAACUCCGUGCCAGCAGCCGCGGUAAUACGGAGGAUGCGAGCGUUAUCCGGAUUUAUUGGGUUUAAAGGGUGCGUAGGUUGUUUUUUAAGUCAGCGGUGAAAGUUUGUGGCUCAACCAUAAAAUUGCCGUUGAAACUGGAAGACGUGAGUGUGUUUGAGGUAGGCGGAAUGCGUGGUGUAGCGGUGAAAUGCAUAGAUAUCACGCAGAACUCCGAUUGCGAAGGCAGCUUACUAAGCCAUAACUGACACUGAAGCACGAAAGCGUGGGGAUCAAACAGGAUUAGAUACCCUUGUAGUC